AUGACAUCUUUGUCUGUCUGUUUUCACUUUCUGCUUUCUCGGAGAGCGAAGAAUUUGCAACAGUAUUGGCUAUGACUGUGCAUUUUGCGUUUUGGGCCUAACGGGUUCAUGUUGGCCCGAUUCAAUUCGAAUCUUCCACCGAAUAUAUCCUAUCCUGCAGAAGAAACGACGUCGUUUUUAUCCGUUGCUGCCUUUACAUUCCGCCCCAAGUCCGCGUCAGUUUGGAGUCUUUACCUCCUUUUUAACCUUCUCCCACCUUUCCGCUCAGCCCCUUUGUGCUCCAAAAACCGCACCGACGUCGUUUUCAGGUUACCUAAUUUUGAAAUUAAGGGCGCCGAUGAGUUCUUGUAGCAGGAAGAAGAAUUUCGGGAGCGGCAGCUUCGUAUCGAAUUUGAGGGAUCACAUUCAUGAAUUUCUUCAUGCUUCCAUAGAUGAGCACAGAACUUGCUUGAAAGAGACGGUGCGGAAGAUGUUUGAAAGGGCAAAACUUUACAGAGAAAAGAGUGGCGGCGGACCAAACGAAGGAGAAAAGCCCCUGCCUUUGCAAACCACUACAGAUUAGGAAGAAUUUGCAAGCUUUUCUAUUUUCUGGGUUGCAGAGAAAAAAGAGUACUGUAAGACAAAUUUGAUAUCUUUAUCUUUAGCAUCUGUAUAGGUUGUGUUUGAAACAAUAGUUUGACGAAUGACAUUGAAAUGCUAGCGUCAAUUACUCA